rnacentral:rRNA from 1 species
UAAGGAAUCUUCCGCAAUGGGCGCAAGCCUGACGGAGCGACACCGCGUGGAGGAUGAAGCCCUUCUUGGGCGUAAACUCCUGUUCUGAGGGACGAAAUUUUUGACGGUACCUCAGGAGAAAGUAUCGGCUAACCCUGUGCCAGCAGCCGCGGUAAGACAGGGGAUACAAGCAUUACUCGGAAUUACUGGGCGUAAAGCGUCUGUAGGCGACCAAGCAAGUCGGGGGUGAAAGUCCAAAGCUCAACUUUGUGAUUGCCCUGGAAACUGCUUGGAUUGAGCCACUGAGAGGCACCUGGAAUGCCAUGUGGAGGAGUAAAAUCCGUAGAGACAUGGUGGAACGCCAAAAGCGAAGGCAGGGUGCUAGCGGUCGGCUGACGCUGAGAGACGAAAGCGUGGGGAGCAAAGGGGAUUAGAUACCCUCGUAGUCCCUGAGCGGGCUGGCAAGGCGCAU